CGUAAAUAAUCUACCCUGAUGUCUGGGACAACCAGCCGAAAGGCUGACUAAUACCGGCUAUAUGCUACCCUGUUGGGGGUAUCAGGAAAGGUGGCCUCUUCUUGAAAGCUAUCGCAUUGGGAUGAGUUUGCGUACCAUUAGCUAGUUGGUGGGGUAAUGGCCUACCAAGGCUACGAUGGUUAGCGGGUCUGAGAGGAUGAUCCGUCACACUGGCACUGGAACACGGGCCAG
rnacentral:rRNA from 1 species